rnacentral:lncRNA from 1 species
AUCUUUGGAAGGAUAAAUGAGAAACUGCUAAGUUUGUCUCUGGGGAUGGAGAUCAAGUGGCUGGGUGAUAGGAGUCAAGUAGACUGAAAUCACUGUGUAUUUGAACUUCAGGGUGACAGGAAAAAAUUAUGAGAGGUUUAUUUUUUCAUUCCUUACAUAUACCUUAUAAACCUUUAUAGUUUACAAACCUGUGAAAUGUGACUAGAUUACCUUUCAAAGCAUAGAUAAAUAAAAGAAAACAAAAGCAUAGCUUUGAAAUCAGAUACAUGUAGGUUCUAGUUCCACUUUCCUCACCUUCUUGCUCUGUGAUAGGGGCGGAUAAGUCCCUUCUUCAGAGCUAUCUGGGCAAAUGGGUUUAAUACAUGUUUUGCAGGAUAAUAGGGAUUAUCAAUAAUGUUGGGGUGGCACUCAGCACAGUGCCUGGCACUGAGGAGAGUUCAGGAAAUGGUGGGUAUCAUUAUCUUGAGGAAUUUAUCUUGCACUAGAGGGUAAGCACAAUGAGAAGCAGGGUAGCCUAGUAUUAACAAAAGAAAGAAAUAAACCCCACAAAACUCAUCUCCCUGAAUAUUUUUUCCUGUCACAACUGAAGCUCAAACACACGGUAACUCCAGUCAUCCUUGACUUUUCUCAGCAUUUUUCUGGGUUGCUUAGUGGGUCUCAGCCUUGGCUGCACAGUAGAGCCUCUGGGAGCUUUAAAAAUGCCUAUGUUCCAUUCUCAGGGAUUCCCGCCUCAUCGAUAUGGGAUAGGGCCUGGGCAUUGGUAUUAAAAAAGAGAAAAGACCUUUCCAGGUGGUUAAAAUGUAUAUUCAAAGUUAAGAAUUACUCAAGAGCAACGUAGAAUUCCUUAAGCUUCUAGAAGGGCCCACCUCCUGGGGAAUUGAAGAAGAGUUUGAGAAUUUCUUCUCACUGAAGACAGAAGUUUUGAGAACCUAUGGAAAUGUGUCAGCCUUCCACACACAGUUCUUAUGUCAGUUCCUCCAGCUUCUCUCUGAUACUCUGUUACUGAAAUGAGUUAGGUUUCACUUUAGAACCUAUUUUUCUUUGGUAUUGCUUUUUGGACAGUUCUGCUUGUAACAGUUCCCAUUAAACAAGUAGAGGGAAAAUGCCAUCCUCUGUUUAAUAAUUGGUAUUUGAGGGCAGCCCUGGUGGCCCAGCGGUUUGGCACUGCCUUUGGCCCGGGGUAUGAUCCUGGAGACCGGGGAUGGAGUCCCGCGUCGGGCUUCCUGCAUGGAGCCUGCUUCUCCCUCUGCCUGUGUCUCUGCCUCUCUCUGUGUGUGUCUCUCAUGAGUAAAUAAAUGAAAUCUUAAAUAAUAAUAAUAAUAAUAAUAAUAAUAAUAAUAAUAAUAAUUGGU